rnacentral:rRNA from 1 species
GUAUUGAAGGUGAUGCCUGCCCGGUGACCUGAGGUUUAACGGCCGCGGUAUCCUAACCGUGCAAAGGUAGCGCAAUCAAUUGUCCCGUAAAUCGGGACUAGUAUGAAUGGCUAAACGAGGUCUUAACUGUCUCUUACAGGCAAUCGGUGAAAUUGAUCUUCCUGUACAAAAGCAGGGAUGAACACAUAAGACGAGAAGACCCUGUGGAACUUUAAAAACAGCAGCCACCCCAGACUACCAUACCAACCCAACUCGGGCUCACUCACACAAUGGGCUACUGGCUUGCAUUUUUUCGGUUGGGGCGACCUUGGAGCAAAACAAAACCUCCAAAUCUUGGACCAAACAUCUAGACUAAGAGCAACCUCUCAAAGUGCUAAAAGCAACCAGAUCCAAUAUAAUUGAUCAAUGGACCAAGCUACCCCAGGGAUAACAGCGCAAUCUCCUCCAAGAGUCCUUAUCGACGGGGAGGUUUACGACCUCGAUGUUGGAUCAGGACAUCCUAGUGGUGCAGCCGCUACUAAGGGCUCGU